UGGUAUCAGUUAUCAUAAUGAUAUGUGUCUUUACCAUUAGAGUUUCAGUCAGGUUGUGUCCAGCACAUGAAGGAGUUAAGAGGAGGGACUAGUUUAAUUGAUUAUUGUUUGAAUAUGUCUACCUUGCUUGAACUGAGAGAGAAGAGAAGAGAAUAUUUAAUGGGAGGCAGCAAAACAGAGCAACAAGAAAGACAUUAAGAGAAUGCAAUGGUCUAUGAGAAACUGGGUAACCUUGGUAAUGACACACAAUACAAGAACAUGGCAGACACCUGUCAGAGAGACUUACUUA